rnacentral:rRNA from 1 species
AAAGCUAGUUGUAUUAUUAGUUAAUGCAAGAUCGACUACGUCGACUAAAGUUCUAGGUAGAAUAAUGAUGAUGACAAUUUUUUACCUAUAUGUCUUGACCAAGUCUCGUGCCAGCAGUCGCGGUAAUACGUGGAAGACUAGUGUUAUUCAUCUUUAUUAGGUUUAAAGGGUACCUAGACGGUAUUUCUAGCCCAAAAUAGGGUACGGAUUUACUAGAGUUUUAUGUGAGGAGGGGAGUACUCGUGGAGUAGAGAUGAAAUUUUGUUAUACUAUGAGGUAACUGGUGGCGGCGAAAGCAACCUUCUAUGUAUAAACUGACGUUGAGGGACGAAGGCUUGGGUAGCAAAUAGGAUUAGAUACCCUAGUAGUCCAAGCAGACAAUUCUGAAUGCCAUAGAUCAGAUUAUUUUUGGUCUAUAAAUGAAAGUGUAAGCAUUCCACCUUAGGAGUAAUGUGGCAACACAGGAACUGAAAUCAUUAGACCGUUUCUGAAACCAGUAGUGAAGUAUGUUAUUUAAUUUGAUGGUCCACAAAAAACCUUACCACAACUUGAAUAUUUUUUAAUUAAUACAAGCGUUGCACGGCUGUCUUCAGUUAAUGUCGUGAGAUUUUGGUUAACUCCAUUAAUUAACGUAAACCCUUACUUUAU